GACGAACGCCGGCGGCGUGCUUAACACAUGCAAGUCGAACGGAAAGGCCCUGCUUUUGUGGGGUGCUCGAGUGGCGAACGGGUGAGUAACACGUGAGUAACCUGCCCUUGACUUUGGGAUAACUUCAGGAAACUGGGGCUAAUACCGGAUAGGAGCUCCUGCUGCAUGGUGGGGGUUGGAAAGUUUCGGCGGUUGGGGAUGGACUCGCGGCUUAUCAGCUUGUUGGUGGGGUAGUGGCUUACCAAGGCUUUGACGGGUAGCCGGCCUGAGAGGGUGACCGGCCACAUUGGGACUGAGAUACGGCCCAGACUCCUACGGGAGGCAGCAGUGGGGAAUAUUGCACAAUGGGCGGAAGCCUGAUGCAGCAACGCCGCGUGCGGGAUGACGGCCUUCGGGUUGUAAACCGCUUUCGCCUGUGACGAAGCGUGAGUGACGGUAAUGGGUAAAGAAGCACCGGCUAACUACGUGCCAGCAGCCGCGGUGAUACGUAGGGUGCGAGCGUUGUCCGGAUUUAUUGGGCGUAAAGGGCUCGUAGGUGGUUGAUCGCGUCGGAAGUGUAAUCUUGGGGCUUAACCCUGAGCGUGCUUUCGAUACGGGUUGACUUGAGGAAGGUAGGGGAGAAUGGAAUUCCUGGUGGAGCGGUGGAAUGCGCAGAUAUCAGGAGGAACACCAGUGGCGAAGGCGGUUCUCUGGGCCUUUCCUGGCGCUGAGGAGCGAAAGCGUGGGGAGCGAACAGGCUUAGAUACCCUGGUAGUCCACGCUGUAAACGGUGGGUACUAGGUGUGGGGUCCAUUCCACGGGUUCCGUGCCGUAGCUAACGCUUUAAGUACCCCGCCUGGGGAGUACGGCCGCAAGGCUAAAACUCAAAGGAAUUGACGGGGCCCCGCACAAGCGGCGGAGCAUGCGGAUUAAUUCGAUGCAACGCGUAGAACCUUACCUGGGUUUGACAUGGAUCGGGAGCGCUCAGAGAUGGGUGUGCCUCUUUUGGGGUCGGUUCACAGGUGGUGCAUGGCUGUCGUCAGCUCGUGUCGUGAGAUGUUGGGUUAAGUCCCGCAACGAGCGCAACCCUUGUUCACUGUUGCCAGCACGUUAUGGUGGGGACUCAGUGGAGGCCGCCGGGGCCAACUCGGAGGAAGGUGGGGAUGACGUCAAGUCAUCAUGCCCCUUAUGUCCAGGGCUUCACGCAUGCUACAAUGGCUGGUACAGAGAGUGGCGAGCCUGUGAGGGUGAGCGAAUCUCGGAAAGCCGGUCUCAGUUCGGAUUGGGGUCUGCAACUCGACCUCAUGAAGUCGGAGUCGCUAGUAAUCGCAGAUCAGCAACGCUGCGGUGAAUACGUUCCCGGG
rnacentral:rRNA from 1 species